UACGUAGGGGGCAAGCGUUGUCCGGAAUUAUUGGGCGUAAAGAGCGCGUAGGCGGUCCGGUAAGUCGGCUGUGAAAGUCAAGGGCUCAACCCUCGAAUGCCGGUGGAUACUGUCGGGCUAGAGUCCGGAAGAGGCGAGUGGAAUUCCUGGUGUAGCGGUGGAAUGCGCAGAUAUCAGGAGGAACACCGAUGGCGAAGGCAGCUCGCUGGGACGGUACUGACGCUGAGGCGCGAAAGCGUGGGGAGCGAACAGG
rnacentral:rRNA from 1 species